UGGGGGAUAUUGCACAAUGGGCGAAAGCCUGAUGCAGCGACGCCGCGUGGGGGAUGAAGGCCUUCGGGUUGUAAACUUCUUUUGCUCUGAACAAGGCGCACCAUGGGGUGUGUUGAGUGUAGGGGUUGAUUAGCGCCGGCUAACUACGUGCCAGCAGCCGCGGUAAUACGUAGGGCGCGCGCGUUGUCCGGAAUUAUUGGGCGUAAAGGGCUUGUAGGUGGCUGGUUGCGUCUGUCGUGAAAGCUCAUGGCUUAACUGUGGGUUUGCGGUGGGUACGGGCUGGCUUGAGUGCAGUAGGGGAGGCUGGAAUUCCUGGUGUAGCGGUGGAAUGCGCAGAUAUCAGGAGGAAUACCGGUGGCGAAGGCGGGUCUCUGGGCUGUUACUGACACUGAGGAGCGAAAGCAUGGGGAGCGAACAGG
rnacentral:rRNA from 1 species